UCAGGAUGAACGCUGGCGGCGUGCUUAACACAUGCAAGUCGAACGAAGCACUUACUUACGAUCCUUCGGGGUGACGAGUUGUGACUGAGUGGCGGACGGGUGAGUAACGCGUGGGUAACCUACCCUAUGAAGGGGGAUAACAGUUAGAAAUGACUGCUAAUACCGCAUAAGCGCACAGUAUCGCAUGAUACAGUGUGAAAAAACUCCGGUGACAUAGGAUGGACCCGCGUCUGAUUAGCUAGUUGGUGAGGUAAUGGCUCACCAAGGCGACGAUCAGUAGCCGGCUUGAGAGAGUGAACGGCCACAUUGGGACUGAGACACGGCCCAAACUCCUACGGGAGGCAGCAGUGGGGAAUAUUGCACAAUGGGGGAAACCCUGAUUGCAGCGACGCCGCGUGAGUGAUGAAGUAUUUCGGUACGUAAAGCUCUAUCAGCAAGGAAGAUAAUGACGGUACUUAACUAAGAAGCCCCGGCUAACUACGUGCCAGCCGCAGC
rnacentral:rRNA from 1 species